rnacentral:rRNA from 1 species
GUGGGGAAUCUUAGACAAUGGGCGCAAGCCUGAUCUAGCCAUGCCGCGUGAGCGAUGAAGGCCUUAGGGUUGUAAAGUUCUUUCAGGGGGGAAGAUAAUGACUGUACCCCCAGAAGAAGCCCCGGCUAACUCCGUGCCAGCAGCCGCGGUAAUACGGAGGGGGCUAGCGUUGUUCGGAAUUACUGGGCGUAAAGCGCACGUAGGCGGAUCAGAAAGUCAGAGGUGAAAUCCCAGGGCUCAACCCUGGAACUGCCUUUGAAACUCCUGAUCUUGAGGUCGAGAGAGGUGAGUGGAAUUCCGGGUGUAGAGGUGAAAUUCGUAGAUAUUCGGAGGAACACCAGUGGCGAAGGCGGCUCACUGGCUCGAUACUGACGCUGAGGUGCGAAAGCGUGGGGAGCAAACAGAAUUAGAAACCCCUGUAGUCC